AGCUCAGCUGGUAGAGCAUGGCACUUGCAAUGCCAGGGUUGUGGGUUCGAUUCCCAU
rnacentral:tRNA from 1 species